rnacentral:rRNA from 1 species
CCUACGGGAGGCAGCAGUAGGGAAUCUUUCACAAUGGGCGAAAGCCUGAUGGAGCAACGCCGCGUGCAGGAUGAAGGCCUUCGGGGUGUAAACUGCUUUUAUAAGGGAGAAAUAUGAUGGUAACUUAUGAAUAAGGAACGGCUAACUACGUGCCAGAAGCCGCGGUCAUACGUAGGAUCCGAGCAUUAUCCGGAGUGACUGGGUGUAAAGAGGUGCGUAGGGGGCAUAGUAAGUAGCUAGGGAAAUCUGGUGGCUCAACCAUUCAGACUAUUAGCUAAACUGCUAAGAUCGAGACCGCUAGGGGUAGCUGGAAUUUUUAGUGUAGGAGUGAAAUCCGUAGAUAUUAGAAGGAACACCGAUAGCGUAGGCAGGUUACUGGGACGGUUCUGACACUAAGGCACGAAAGCGUAGGGAGCAAACGGGAUUAGAUACCCCUGUAGUC